UCUUUUGGUUUCCCGACUACCCCAAGGGAGCAAGGAUUAAGAUCACGGGUAUUAACUUCAGAAUUGUAAAUAGGUUUUUUGUUUCACGACUACCCCAAGGGAGCCAAGGAUUAAGAUCACGGGUAUUAAUUCAUUAUUGUAAAUAGGUUUUAUGGUUUCACGACUACCCCAAGGGAGCCAAGGAUUAGGAUCACGGGUAUUAACUUCAGAAUUGUAAAUAGGUCUUUUGGUUUCCGACUACCCAAGGGAGCCAAGGAUUAGGAUCACGGGUAUUAACUUCAGAAUUGUAAAUAGGUUUUUGAUUUCACGACUACCCCAAGGGAGCCAAGGAUUAAGAUCACGGGUAUUAACUUCAUUAUUGUAAAUAGGUUUUAUGGUUUCAGCGACUACCCAAGGAGCCAAGGAUUAGGAUCACGGUAUUAACUUCAGAAUUGUAAAUGGUCUUUUGGUUUCCCGACUACCCAAGGGAGCAAGGAUUAGAUCACGGUAUUAACUUCAGAAUUGUAAAUAGGUUUUUGAUUUCACGACUACCCCAAGG
rnacentral:lncRNA from 1 species